UUGGUGGGGUGAUGGCCUACCAAGGCGACGACGGGUAGCCGGCCUGAGAGGGCGACCGGCCACACUGGGACUGAGACACGGCCCAGACUCCUACGGGAGGCAGCAGUGGGGAAUAUUGCGCAAUGGGCGGAAGCCUGACGCAGCGACGCCGCGUGGGGGAUGACGGCCUUCGGGUUGUAAACCUCUUUCAGCAGGGACGAAGCUAACGUGACGGUACCUGCAGAAGAAGCGCCGGCUAACUACGUGCCAGCAGCCGCGGUAACACGUAGGGCGCAAGCGUUGUCCGGAAUUAUUGGGCGUAAAGAGCUCGUAGGCGGCCUGUUGCGUCUGCUGUGAAAUCCCGGGGCUUAACCCCGGGCUUGCAGUGGAUACGGGCAGGCUAGAGGCAGGCAGGGGAGAAUGGAAUUCCCGGUGUAGCGGUGAAAUGCGCAGAUAUCGGGAGGAACACCGGUGGCGAAGGCGGUUCUCUGGGCCUGUACUGACGCUGAGGAGCGAAAGCGUGGGGAGCGAACAGGAUUAGAUACCCUGGUAGUCCACGCCGUAAACGUUGGGCGCUAGGUGUGGGGUCCUUCCACGGACUCUGUGCCGCAGCUAACGCAUUAAGCGCCCCGCCUGGGGGAGUACAAAAAA
rnacentral:rRNA from 1 species